rnacentral:rRNA from 1 species
GAGUUUGAUCUUGGCUCAGGAUGAACGCUAGCGGCAGGCCUAAUACAUGCAAGUCGAACGGGAUCCAUGUGCUUGCACAUGGUGAGAGUGGCGCACGGGUGCGUAACGCGUAUGCAACCUACCAUUCCCAGGGGGAUAGCCUCUCGAAAGAGAGAUUAACACCGCAUAACAUUGAGUUGUGGCAUCACAGUUCAAUCAAAUAUUAAUAGGGGAAAGAUGGGCAUGCGUAACAUUAGUUAGUUGGC